rnacentral:rRNA from 1 species
AACAAACGCUGGCGGCGUGCCUAAUACAUGCAAGUCGAACGGGGAAAGCUUUCGGGUGAGUAUUAGUGGCGCACGGGUGAGUAACGCGUGGAUAAUCUGCCUUAGAGCGGGGGAUAAGUAGUCGAAAGAUUAGAUAAUACCGAAUAAGACCACAAGAACUGCGUUUCAAGAGGUCAAAGGCUUUUCGCUCUAAGAUGAGUCCGCGUAAGAUUAGCUAGUUGGUGAGGUAACGGCUCACCAAGGCAACGUUCUUUAACUGGUCUGAGAGGAUGAUCAGUCACACUGGAACUGAGACACGGUCCAGCCUCCUACGGGAGGCAGCAGUAGGGAAUAUUGCAAAAUGGAGGAAACUCUGAUGCAGCGACGCCGCGUGAGUGAUGAAGGCCGUCGGGUCGUAAAGCUCUGUCGCAGGGGAAUAACACAAUGAAUGUACCCUGUAAGAAAGGAUCGGCUAACUUCGUGCCAGCCGCCGCUGUAAAAC